AACGAACGCUGGCGGCGUGCCUAACACAUGCAAGUCGAGCGAGAAAGCUCCUUCGGGUAGUGAGUAAAGCGGCGCACGGGUGAGUAACACGUAGGUAACCUACCCUCGAGCCUGGGAUAACCUACCGGAAAGGUGGGCUAAUACCGGGAUAUGACCACGGGAGCCACGGCUCCUGCGGUGAAAGAUGGCCUAAGCUUGCUAAGCUAUCACUUGAGGAUGGGCCUGCGCACCAUUAGCUAGUUGGCGGGGUAAUGGCCCACCAAGGCUAUGAUGGUUAGCUGGUCUGAGAGGAUGGCCAGCCACACUGGGACUGAAACACGGCCCAGACUCCGUACGGGGGGCAGCAGUGGGGGAUA
rnacentral:rRNA from 1 species